rnacentral:ncRNA from 1 species
AUUAAAAAAGACAAGUUAUGAAAUCAAUGAUGAACAAUACAUAUUGGUGGUGGCGCCCGUUACAACGUAAUAAGUCGUAAGGGAGCAGUGCUCGUGUGUAUAUAAGCAUCAUAUAAUAAAGAAAAGUAAAGAGCCCUGUC